GGUUCAGGGGCCUAGCCCGGCCCGGCCCGGAACUGAGGCCGCCGCUCCAGCCCCCUUUCACCCGGCCCGGGACCCAACGGGCUGCAGGGGAGGAGUGGCCCCCUUCCUACCGGCCCGCCCUAGCCCCAGAUCCCGCAGCCUGCCCGCUCCUUCUGCAGAAUCAAUUGGCUCUGAGGGGAGCUUGAAACGGCAGCGGCGCCGAGUUCCUACAGUUCUCAAGUGCGGGAUCCAGCAGCCCAGGGGUGCCUGGGGGGCCCACUGUCCCCGUGUGUCAGGGUGCGAGUGCUUGCGUGCAAUGCCAGGGCAAAUGCAACCCAAGGAGUAAUGGAGACAGUAAUGGUGGGUGUGAGCAGGCUGUAGCCCAUGACUGAUGCAAGGAAAGGAAGUAGCAUCCGAAGCAUCAAACAAAGGAAAUGGUGAGAAACUGGGAGGAAGGCCUGCACGCUGGGCAGAUAGAUUCUCUGUGGAGGAUUUCAGGAGGACGUGUCCAGAAUCACUGAAAACCAACAGCAGAUCCGGAGUCGGAAGGGGCCUCAGAGACCACUGAGUGUGACCCCCUCGCUUUACAGGUGACUGAACAAUGAACCUGAGACGGAUAUUUCCUGAGUAGAAGGCAAUCUUCUGAGUUCUGGAGUUUGGAGAAAAUGAUUCAACAACAACAGUGGCUCUAGGGCUGUGGAUGAGAAGAUGACCUGACUGGAGGCUCAUCCCAAGCCCCGUCCUGGAUUGUCGAAAGACAUGAACCUUGAAGUGUGGACAAUUCAAAGCAAAGCUGGAGAUGAAAUUCCUGUUCAGCAAGGUCCCACUAGAUUUUUUCAGUGUAAUGCUGGUGUUGCCUUGAAGAAGCAAGACCCCCGAGCAGAUGCUGUCUCAGAAGUCCACCAGUGAAUGAUGUUUUGGAUUUGGGACUUUGGGGAGUGUUUUGGUAAAGACUUCUGGGCGGGGGAGGGGACGCAGGAAAGAGAGAAGGAAGGAGGCAGAAUUCAGAAGCUCACGGGUGGAGAGCCCAUCUACCAUCUUGGGACCACAUGGGCAGACUCCAGGAGGUUUGGAACAUUUCGCUCCUCAGUUCUCCCCUUCGACGGCUGUUGGUGUUGCUGCAGUGACUUGGGUGAGGGUUGGCGAGCUCGCCCAAGCAUUCUUUCAGAGGACAUUUCCUUCUUUGCAGUUGAUUCUGGGUAGGAAGUAAGUCCCAUUAAAUGAGCAGCUCCACUGAGUUUUUGUUUUAGUUUUUAACCUCAGUCUUCCCCACGAGGAAAUCGAAACCAGUAAGAGCCAAACUUCUGCCGCCUCAGCUAACAGCACCUAGUGCUGUUUACCAUGUAGUCAAUGACUUGUAAGCCUCUCCUUUUGUUCCUGUUCUUUCGUUGUUAUCAUUUGUUUCCCUUUAUAUAAAGAAAGCCUAGUGGCUUGUAGUCCUUCUGGAGAGAAGUUUGGGGGAAUGUUUGGGUUUGGAUUGAGAGUAAGAGAAAAACUUCACUUUAGUAAGGCUCCAGAGUAGAGGCGGUAGAAGUGAUCUACUCUCUGGGGGAAUCACAAACGCCUUGUUGUUGUUUUUUUGAGUAAUAUUUUAUUUUUUCCCAAUUACAUGUAAAAACAAU